GGUUCCUUCCUCUUGCCGGCAGUGAGAAACGCCUCUAACAACUGCAGCCGGAGCAGCUCCCCCAGCAGCUGCGGCAGGAGCAUCAGAGAGAAGAGAUUCCAUCUUCGGAAUUCAGGCUUCUCUGCUUCCCCCAUGCCCCUUAAACUCAUUUCCUUUAUGAAUCAAAGGAAUGCUGUUAAGUAAUAUAUUUAGACAAUAAAAGGAGUGAAGCAACUAUUAUCUCAGGGAGAAGGCUGGCUGCACAGGUCUGUGAGGAAAUACAAAGAGAUAUCGA